rnacentral:rRNA from 1 species
GAUGAACGCUGGCGGCAUGCCUAAUACAUGCAAGUCGAGCGAACAGAUGAGGAGCUUGCUCCUCUGACGUUAGCGGCGGACGGGUGAGUAACACGUGGAUAACCUACCUAUAAGACUGGGAUAACUUCGGGAAACCGGAGCUAAUACCGGAUAAUAUAUUGAACCGCAUGGUUCAAUAGUGAAAGACGGUUUUGCUGUCACUUAUAGAUGGAUCCGCGCCGCAUUAGCUAGUUGGUAAGGUAACGGCUUACCAAGGCAACGAUGCGUAGCCGACCUGAGAGGGUGAUCGGCCACACUGGAACUGAGACACGGCCCAGACUCCUACGGGAGGCAGCAGUAGGGAAUCUUCCGCAAUGGGCGAAAGCCUGACGGAGCAACGCCGCGUGAGUGAUGAAGGUCUUCGGAUCGUAAAACUCUGUUAUUAGGGAAGAACAAAUGUGUAAGUAACUAUGCACGUCUUGACGGUACCUAAUCAGAAAGCCACGGCUAACUACGUG